GGGGUUGUGGCUCAGUGGCAGAGUGCUUGCCUAGCAUGCAGGAGGCCCUGGAUUUGAUCCUCAGCACCA
rnacentral:tRNA from 1 species